rnacentral:rRNA from 1 species
CGAACGGCAGCGCGGGAGCAAUCCUGGCGGCGAGUGGCGAACGGGUGAGUAAUACAUCGGAACGUGCCCAAUCGUGGGGGAUAACGCAGCGAAAGCUGUGCUAAUACCGCAUACGAUCUACGGAUGAAAGCAGGGGAUCGCAAGACCUUGCGCGAAUGGAGCGGCCGAUGGCAGAUUAGGUAGUUGGUGAGGUAAAGGCUCACCAAGCCUUCGAUCUGUAGCUGGUCUGAGAGGACGACCAGCCACACUGGGACUGAGACACGGCCCAGACUCCUACGGGAGGCAGCAGUGGGGAAUUUUGGACAAUGGGCGAAAGCCUGAUCCAGCCAUGCCGCGUGCAGGAUGAAGGCCUUCGGGUUGUAAACUGCUUUUGUACGGAACGAAACGGCCUUUUCUAAUAAAGAGGGCUAAUGACGGUACCGUAAGAAUAAGCACCGGCCAACUACGUGCCAGCAGCCGCGGUAAUACGUAGGGUGCAAGCGUUAAUCGGAAUUACUGGGCGUAAAGCGUGCGCAGGCGGUUAUGUAAGACAGUUGUGAAAUCCCCGGGCUCAACCUGGGAACUGCAUCUGUGACUGCAUAGCUAGAGUACGGUAGAGGGGGAUGGAAUUCCGCGUGUAGCAGUGAAAUGCGUAGAUAUGCGGAGGAACACCGAUGGCGAAGGCAAUCCCCUGGACCUGUACUGACGCUC